GCGCACCAGUCGCGAAAACUCCGCAAUACGCGAAAGCGUGACGGGGCCAUCCCGAGUGCCGUCCGCUGAGGAUGGCUUUUCCCCAGUGUAGACAGCUGGGGGAAUAAGGAGAGGGCAAGUCUGGUGUCAGCCGCCGCGGUAAUACCAGCUCUUCGAGUGGUAGGGAUGUUUAUUGGGCCUGAAGCAUCCGUAGCCGGCUGAGCAAGUUCUCUGUUGAAUCCAGCGAUUUAAUCGUUGGAUUGCGGGGAAUACUGUUCGGCUUGGAGGCGGGAGAGGCCGUCGGUAUUCUUUGGGUAGGGGUAAAAUCUUAUAAUCCCAAGAGGACCACCAGUGGCGAAGGCUGUCGGCUAGAACACGCCCGACGGUGAGGGAUGAAAGCUGGGGGAGCGAACCGGAUUAGAUACCCGCGUAGUCC
rnacentral:rRNA from 1 species